AGUAACGCGUAAGUAAUCUACCCUUGCAUUCGGAACAACUACGGGAAACUGUAGCUAAUACCGGAUACGUUCUCCUUUUUACGAAUUGGAGAAGAAAGAUGGCCUCUUCAUGAAAGCUAUCGUGCAGGGAGGAGCUUGCGUACCAUUAGCUAGUUGGUAGGGUAAUGGCCUACCAAGGCAACGAUGGUUAGCGGGUCUGAGAGGAUGAUCCGCCACACUGGAACUGAAACACGGACCAG
rnacentral:rRNA from 1 species